rnacentral:rRNA from 1 species
CACGUAGUUAGCCGGGGGCUUCUUACUCAGGUACCGUCAUUUUCUUCCCUGCUGAUAGAGCUUUACAUCACGAAUGACUUCUUCACUCACGCGGCGUUGCUGCAUCAGGGUUUCCCCCAUUGUGCAAUAUUCCCCACUGCUGCCUCCCGUAGGAGUUUGGGCCGUGUCUCAGUCCCAAUGUGGCCGUUCACCCUCUCAGGCCGGCUACUGAUCGUCGCCUUGGUGGGCUUCUACCCCGCCAACCAGCUAAUCAGACGCGGAUCCAUCUUACACCACCGGAGUUUUUCACACUGAGCCAUGCGGCUCUGUGCGCUUAUGCGGUAUUAGCACCUAUUUCUAAGUGUUAUCCCCCAGUGUAAGGCAGGUUAUCCACGCGUUACUCACCCGUCCGCCACUAAGUUACGAAUCACUAGGUUCUAUCUAACUCCGUUCGACUUGCUAUGUGUUUAGGCUACGCCGCCACGCGUCUAUCCU